rnacentral:lncRNA from 1 species
AUGCUUGCUCGGUUUUUCUUUUCUUUUUCAAGAGUUGUGGUACUUACCAAUUCUUUUUCGUUCUCCCCAACUUAUUUCUUACUCACCCUAAGUGAAUGCUCUUAACUUUUUACGGCAAAAGAACAAUAAUCAAGAUUUUCCGGGUUGUAAAAAAAAAGAUUUUUGAGAUCUCGCUUUAUUUCAAGCCGAGAUUCAACUGUUUAGGCUCAAAGGGGUUAACAAAUACUCUCUCUGCUC